rnacentral:tRNA from 1 species
GGUAGCUCAGCGGUAGAGCGGGUGACUGUUAAUCACUAGGUCGGCGGUUCGAAUCCGUCC